rnacentral:rRNA from 1 species
ACCAUUUUUAGUACUAUUCAAAAUAUUAUUUUUUAAUAAAUAUUUAAAUUUUUUCAAAUUUUAAAAAACUGAAAAGGAGCUGAAUUUUACUUUUAAAAGUCAUUUAUUUUGUACCUUUAGCAUAAGGGAUUUUCAAAAAGAAAUAAAAUUUUAUUUCUUUCGAAAUUAACUGAUCUAUUUUUUAAAAAAACUAUUAUUUUAUUUAUGUUUCAUAAUAAAUAUUAAUUAAUUAAUAGAAGUGAAAUUCUUUCCAAAGUUAAAGAUAUCUAAUUUUUUAAAAAAAUAAAAAAUUGCCUUAUAAAUAUUUAUUUAUUUAUUAUUUUUAUAAGUAAUUAUAUUUGGGAUAAGCUGGAUAUAAAAUUAUAUAAAAUGUUAAUAAGUUAAUUAUUAAGAAAUAUAAUUUUUCUUAUACUGUAACAAGUAAUUAUUACAAUUUAUUAAAAAAAAUAAUAUUCUAUUUAAAAUUAAAAAUUUUAUUAACUUUUAAAAAUGAAAAUAUAAGUAAAAGUUAUUUUUAAUAAAUAUACAUUAAAAUAAAAAUACAAAUAAAAAAUAAGUUUAAGGAAUUAGGCAAAAUAGUUUUUUGACUGUUUAAUAAAAACAAUGUAUUUAGAUUUUAUUAAAUAUAAAUCCUGCUCAAUGAAUUAAUUAAAUUGCUGUAGUAUUUUGACUAUACAAAGGUAUUGUAAUAAGACUUUAAUUGAGUGCUAAAAGAAUGGACUUUCAAGAAAUUACUUUCUUAAAUUUAAUAAUUGAAAUUAUUUUUAUUUGUGAAGAAACAAUAAUUUUAAUUAAGGACAAGAAGACCCUAUGAAUUUUAAUUUAAGAAGAUUUAUUUAUAAAUUUGCUUAAAUUUAAUUGGGGCGAUUUAAAAAUAUUUUUAACUUUACAAAGUAAAAAAAUGACCCAUUAGUAAUGAUAAUUUGGAAAAAAUACUCUAGGGAUAACAGCGUAAUAAUUUUGGAUAGAUCUUAUAGAUAAAAUAGUUUGCGACCUCGAUGUUGGAUUAGGAUUCUAUUUUAAUGAAGAAGUUAAAAAUAGAAGUUUGUUCAACUUUUAAAAUCCUACAUGAUCUGAGUUUAGACCGAUGUGAAUCAGGUUGGUUUCUAUCUUAAUUUUUUAAGAUUAAUUUUAAUUAGUACGAAAGGAAUUUUAAAAUAGAAUUAUUUUCAUUAUAAACACUUUUUGCAUCAAUUUUUGGAGUUAUUAAAGUGACAGAUAAAAUGUGAGGAAUUUAAGCUUCCUU